GACGAACCGUGCGAACGUUAUUCGGAAUCACUGGGCUUAAAGCGCGUGUAGGCGGGCCGGCACGUCGGACGUUGAAAUCCCCCGGCUCAACCGGGGAAGGGGCGCCGAUACGACCGGCCUGGAGGAACGUAGGGGGAGCUGGAACUUCCGGUGGAGCGGUGAAAUGCGUAGAUAUCAAGAGGAACACCGGUGGCGAAGGCGGUUCUCUGGGCCUGUACUGACGCUGAGGAGCGAAAGCGUGGGGAGCGAACAGG
rnacentral:rRNA from 1 species